GGAUGCGAUCAUACCAGCACUAAAGCACCGGAUUCCAUCAGAACUCCGAAGUUAAGUGUGCUUGGGCGAGAGUAGUACUAGGAUGGGUGACCUCCUGGGAAGUCCUCGUGUUGCAUUCC
rnacentral:rRNA from 1 species